rnacentral:rRNA from 1 species
UGCAAGUCGAGCGGACAGAUGGGAGCUUGCUCCCUGAUGUUAGCGGCGGACGGGUGAGUAACACGUGGGUAACCUGCCUGUAAGACUGGGAUAACUCCGGGAAACCGGGGCUAAUACCGGAUGGUUGUCUGAACCGCAUGGUUCAGACAUAAAAGGUGGCUUCGGCUACCACUUACAGAUGGACCCGCGGCGCAUUAGCUAGUUGGUGAGGUAACGGCUCACCAAGGCGACGAUGCGUAGCCGACCUGAGAGGGUGAUCGGCCACACUGGGACUGAGACACGGCCCAGACUCCUACGGGAGGCAGCAGUAGGGAAUCUUCCGCAAUGGACGAAAGUCUGACGGAGCAACGCCGCGUGAGUGAUGAAGGUUUUCGGAUCGUAAAGCUCUGUUGUUAGGGAAGAACAAGUGCCGUUCAAAUAGGGCGGCACCUUGACGGUACCUAACCAGAAAGCCACGGCUAACUACGUGCCAGCAGCCGCGGUAAUACGUAGGUGGCAAGCGUUGUCCGGAAUUAUUGGGCGUAAAGGGCUCGCAGGCGGUUUCUUAAGUCUGAUGUGAAAGCCCCCGGCUCAACCGGGGAGGGUCAUUGGAAACUGGGGAACUUGAGUGCAGAAGAGGAGAGUGGAAUUCCACGUGUAGCGGUGAAAUGCGUAGAGAUGUGGAGGAACACCAGUGGCGAAGGCGACUCUCUGGUCUGUAACUGACGCUGAGGAGCGAAAGCGUGGGGAGCGAACAGGAUUAGAUACCCUGGUAGUCCACGCCGUAAACGAUGAGUGCUAAGUGUUAGGGGGUUUCCGCCCCUUAGUGCUGCAGCUAACGCAUUAAGCACUCCGCCUGGGGAGUACGGUCGCAAGACUGAAACUCAAAGGAAUUGACGGGGGCCCGCACAAGCGGUGGAGCAUGUGGUUUAAUUCGAAGCAACGCGAAGAACCUUACCAGGUCUUGACAUCCUCUGACAAUCCUAGAGAUAGGACGUCCCCUUCGGGGGCAGAGUGACAGGUGGUGCAUGGUUGUCGUCAGCUCGUGUCGUGAGAUGUUGGGUUAAGUCCCGCAACGAGCGCAACCCUUGAUCUUAGUUGCCAGCAUUCAGUUGGGCACUCUAAGGUGACUGCCGGUGACAAACCGGAGGAAGGUGGGGAUGACGUCAAAUCAUCAUGCCCCUUAUGACCUGGGCUACACACGUGCUACAAUGGACAGAACAAAGGGCAGCGAAACCGCGAGGUUAAGCCAAUCCCACAAAUCUGUUCUCAGUUCGGAUCGCAGUCUGCAACUCGACUGCGUGAAGCUGGAAUCGCUAGUAAUCGCGGAUCAGCA